UUAAGGAUGUUUGCUUGUCAUGUUUUGGAAUUUUUGUCAGAUUUUCGAAAUCCUCUGGUUUUAUCCAUUUCGGAAUGCCUUAAAAAUAUUUGCCCAUGAACCCCCAUUUUUCUUUUUAUAAAUCUUUUACAUGUAUUAUUUUAAGCCAUUUGUAAAAGUUUUAUAAAAUUUUACUUAUUUUAUAGUAGUUUUUGAGAACUCUAAGUAGUCAAUGAUGAAGCUAUGAAAAAUCAAGAGAGAAACAUUUCCCGCCAAAAUUCUAAUGGCUUAUAUCUCGAAAACAAGCACAU
rnacentral:lncRNA from 1 species